UUCCGGUUGAUCCUGCCGGACCUUACUGCUAUCGGGGUGGGACUAAGACAUGCGAGUCGAGCGUCUCUAGCUAUGUUGAGACGCGGCAGACGGCUCAGUAACACGUGGCUAACCUACCCUCAGGACGAGGAUAAACCCGGGAAACUGGGGCUAAUACUCGAUAGGUGAGAAUGUCUGGAAUGAUUUCUCAUUCAAAGGGCUUUAGAAACAUGCUUCUAAAGUCGCCUGGGGAUGGGGCCGCGUCCGAUCAGGUUGUUGGUGAGGUAACGGCUCACCAAGCCUAUAACCGGUACGGGCCGUGAGAGCGGUAGCCCGGAGAUGGGUACUGAGACAAGGACCCAGGCCCUACGGGGCGCAGCAGUCGCGAAAACUCCGCAAUGCACGAAAGUGUGACGGGGCUACCCCGAGUGCCAUCCGCUGAGGAUGGCUUUUCUUUGGUGUAACUAGCCGGGGGAAUAAGGAGAGGGCAAGACUGGUGUCAGCCGCCGCGGUAAUACCAGCUCUCCGAGUGGUAGGGAUGAUUAUUGGGCUUAAAGCGUCCGUGGCCGGCUUAGCAAGUCUCCUGUUAAAUUCAGCGACCUAAUCGUUGAGCCGCGGGAGAUACUACUAGGCUAGGAGGCGGGAGAGGUCGACGGUACUUCUGGGGUAGGGGUGAAAUCCUAUAAUCCCGGGAGGACCACCAGUGGCGAAGGCUGUUGACUAGAACGCGCUCGACGGUGAGGGACGAAAGCUGGGGGAGCGAACCGGAUUAGAUACCCGGGUAGUCCCAGCCGUAAACGAUGCGGGCUAGGUGUUGGGGUGGCUACGUGCCACUUCAGUGCCGCAGGAAGCCAUUUAGCCCGCCGCCUGGGGAGUACGCGCAGCUGAACUUAAGAAUUGCGGGGAGCACACAGCGUGAGCUUGCGGUUCAUUGGAUCACGCCGUU
rnacentral:rRNA from 1 species